ACAACAGAACUUUUCUAUGACCACUGGGGGUGAUAUUCUACUCCUAACAAAGAUAAGUGAUACUUAAAGGAAACUAGCUGAUUUCCUGAUUUUUUCAGAAAGAACUAUAAAGUUCACUGGAUGAGAAAAUGUCUUCCUUUCAGAUGACGGCCAGCUAGGAAAUAAUAGAAUGAUUAAAUAAGCAUUUUGUAACCCUAAUGGGAGAAUUGACUCAGGGAAGGUGUCUAAAUGUUAGGAAACAGAGGCCUGAAAAGGGAGAGUCCCAUCUCGCCAAAGUGUCGAGCCUGCGGCUUGUUUGCUGAGGAU
rnacentral:lncRNA from 1 species